rnacentral:rRNA from 1 species
GAUGAACGCUAGCUACAGGCUUAACACAUGCAAGUCGAGGGGAAACGACAUCGAAAGCUUGCUUUUGAUGGGCGUCGACCGGCGCACGGGUGAGUAACGCGUAUCCAACCUGCCCAUCACUUGGGAAUAACCUUGCGAAAGUAAGACUAAUACCCAAUGACAUCCCACGAAGACAUCUGAAUGGGAUUAAAGAUUUAUCGGUGAUGGAUGGGGAUGCGUCUGAUUAGCUUGUUGGCGGGGUAACGGCCCACCAAGGCAACGAUCAGUAGGGGUUCUGAGAGGAAGGUCCCCCACAUUGGAACUGAGACACGGUCCAAACUCCUACGGGAGGCAGCAGUGAGGAAUAUUGGUCAAUGGGCGAGGGCCUGAACCAGCCAAGUAGCGUGCAGGAUGACGGCCCUAUGGGUUGUAAACUGCUUUUAUAAGGGAAUAAAGUGGGUCUCGUGAGACUUUUUGCAUGUACCUUAUGAAUAAGGACCGGCUAAUUCCGUG